UACGUAGGGGGCAAGCGUUGUCCGGAAUCAUUGGGCGUAAAGAGCGUGUAGGCGGCCAUCUAAGUCUGCUGUGAAAAGUCCAGGGCUCAACCCCUGGGAUGCCGGUGGAUACUGGAUGGCUCGAGUCCGGAAGAGGAGUGUGGAAUUCCUGGUGUAGCGGUGAAAUGCGCAGAUAUCAGGAGGAACACCGAUGGCGAAGGCAGCACUCUGGGGACGUGACUGACGCUGAAGACGCGAAAAGCGUGGGGG
rnacentral:rRNA from 1 species